GACGAACGCUGGCGGCGUGCCUAAUACAUGCAAGUCGAGCGAGUCUGCCUUGAAGAUCGGAGUGCUUGCACUCUGUGAAACAAGAUACAGGCUAGCGGCGGACGGGUGAGUAACACGUGGGUAACCUGCCCAAGAGAUCGGGAUAACACCUGGAAACAGAUGCUAAUACCGGAUAACAACAGAUGAUGCCUAUCAACUGUUUAAAAGAUGGUUCUGCUAUCACUCUUGGAUGGACCUGCGGUGCAUUAGCUAGUUGGUAGGGUAACGGCCUACCAAGGCGAUGAUGCAUAGCCGAGUUGAGAGACUGAUCGGCCACAUUGGGACUGAGACACGGCCCAAACUCCUACGGGAGGCAGCAGUAGGGAAUCUUCCACAAUGGACGCAAGUCUGAUGGAGCAACGCCGCGUGAGUGAAGAAGGGGUUCGGCUCGUAAAGCUCUGUUGUUGGUGAAGAAGGACAGGGGUAGUAACUGACCUUUGUUUGACGGUAAUCAAUUAGAAAGUCACGGCUAACUAAGUG
rnacentral:rRNA from 1 species